AGAUAAGGAUUACCAAAGCUCCCUUACCCGCAGCCAUGGCUACGCCAACGGCGGACCGCACUCUCUGGUACUGACGCCACACGUACGGAUCAGAUCACGGAAGAAGGACCUGUGUAACGCACAAGCGUACAAAGUAUACGAACUAUAUGCCAACUGGAUCUGAACCAGCUCCGGGACUCGUAGCUGAAAGCAUGGCAAGCCAAGGUGCCGCGAAGGCAAUUACGAACUUCAGGUGAUUGGCCAUCUGAUGUACUGCUGGUGCGGUUCGGCAUGCUAAACUCGAAAUGUUUAUUUAAAGUCUACCGAAAACCAGUCUCGCCUACAUCGACAGUGACUACAUGUCCUGUCAUUGUCUUCUACACAGUUUUUCGCUCAGCGUGUCAGCCCGAUAGCUCACUGGCUGUUCAACUAAUACCGGUCGCAGUUCCUGCAUUAAACGGAAGUAACCGAUAAAGCACGAGACGCUUUGGCUCAAAAACGUAAGCGCUAGCACCAUCUGUGCAGGUUGGCUUAUUUGUUAGAAUAAGUUCUUCAGUUGUAGCCGAUAUUAUCCAGAGUAACGAUCUCAUCGUCGGAUCAGCAAUGAUUUAAUAUGUUUAAACCGGAUUCAUUUUAAAGGUAUCUUAGAUACCGUCAAGGCCAUAAGCAGGCAUUAAAAAAAGUUUGAAUCUAAUCGCUACUGUUUUGCUUUUUACUGUUUUGUGUGGGCCUAAUGCCCGUGCUAAAUAACAGUAAAAAAAAUAUUACUACAUGUGACGCUUAAAAAAUUAACCACUGCUUGAAAAUUGAUCAGCGUAUUUAGGAGUUUUGCAUUCUUUUUGUACUAAUCGAGUGUCUAUUACCCAAUUUUUGACCACUGCAAGCAAACAGCAAAUCCUAGGUGUUGAAGCAAAAAAAAAAAAAAGCUUCUAAAAUGGUGUUCAAAUAUUGAAGAAACACUGUAGAUUCAUUCCUUCAAAAAGCCGACAAAGCCAAUCUCCAUGGAACCCCCUACAUAAUACAAUGCCAUAACAACUCAUCAGCAAUAAAGGCGAAGAAAAACUAUCCUGCAGCUGUCAAUUGUCUCCCAAUCAAUUGUCUAUUAGCGGCGAACGGGUGGAACAUGGAAAGUCCUUACCUACAUCACACUAUAAAAGCGAUGAGUUCUAAAACAAGCGAAUUGAGUAGGUUUAAUCAGAAAACGGAAAGGCAAUUUUA